GACAGAGGUGCCGAGCGUUAGGCGGAAUCACUGGGCGUAAAGGGUGCGUAGGCGGGUCUUUAAGUCAGGGGUGAAAUCCUGGAGCUCAACUCCAGAACUGCCUUUGAUACUGAAGAUCUUGAGUUCGGGAGAGGUGAGUGGAACUGCGAGUGUAGAGGUGAAAUUCGUAGAUAUUCGCAAGAACACCAGUGGCGAAGGCGGCUCACUGGCCCGAUACUGACGCUGAGGCACGAAAGCGUGGGAGCAAACAGGG
rnacentral:rRNA from 1 species